rnacentral:rRNA from 1 species
AGAGUUUGAUCCUGGCUCAGGACGAACGCUGGCGGCGCGCCUAACACAUGCAAGUCGAACGAGCGAGAGAGAGCUUGCUUUCUCGAGCGAGUGGCGAACGGGUGAGUAACGCGUGAGGAACCUGCCUCAAAGAGGGGGACAACAGUUGGAAACGACUGCUAAUACCGCAUAAGCCCACAGCUCGGCAUCGAGCAGAGGGAAAAGGAGCAAUCCGCUUUGAGAUGGCCUCGCGUCCGAUUAGCUAGUUGGUGAGGUAAUGGCCCACCAAGGCGACGAUCGGUAGCCGGACUGAGAGGUUGAACGGCCACAUUGGGACUGAGACACGGCCCAGACUCCUACGGGAGGCAGCAGUGGGGAAUAUUGCACAAUGGGGGAAACCCUGAUGCAGCGACGCCGCGUGGAGGAAGAAGGUCUUCGGAUUGUAAACUCCUGUUGUUGAGGAAGAUAAUGACGGUACUCAACAAGGAAGUGACGGCUAACUACGUGCCAGCAGCCGCGGUAAAACGUAGAUCACAAGCGUUGUCCGGAAUUACUGGGUGUAAAGGGAGCGCAGGCGGGAAGACAAGUUGGAAGUGAAAUCUAUGGGCUCAACCCAUAAACUGCUUUCAAAACUGUUUUUCUUGAGUAGUGCAGAGGUAGGCGGAAUUCCCGGUGUAGCGGUGGAAUGCGUAGAUAUCGGGAGGAACACCAGUGGCGAAGGCGGCCUACUGGGCACCAACUGACGCUGAGGCUCGAAAGUGUGGGUAGCAAACAGGAUUAGAUACCCUGGUAGUCCACACCGUAAACGAUGAUUACUAGGUGUUGGAGGAUUGACCCCUUCAGUGCCGCAGUUAACACAAUAAGUAAUCCACCUGGGGAGUACGACCGCAAGGUUGAAACUCAAAGGAAUUGACGGGGGCCCGCACAAGCAGUGGAGUAUGUGGUUUAAUUCGACGCAACGCGAAGAACCUUACCAAGUCUUGACAUCCCUUGACGAUGCUGGAAACAGUAUUUCUCUUCGGAGCAAGGAGACAGGUGGUGCAUGGUUGUCGUCAGCUCGUGUCGUGAGAUGUUGGGUUAAGUCCCGCAACGAGCGCAACCCUUACUGUCAGUUACUACGCAAGAGGACUCUGGCAGGACUGCCGUUGACAAAACGGAGGAAGGUGGGGAUGACGUCAAAUCAUCAUGCCCUUUAUGACUUGGGCUACACACGCACUACAAUGGCGUUAAACAAAGAGAAGCAAGACCGCGAGGUGGAGCAAAACUCAGAAACAACGUCCCAGUUCGGACUGCAGGCUGCAACUCGCCUGCACGAAGUCGGAAUUGCUAGUAAUCGUGGAUCAGCAUGCCACGGUGAAUACGUUCCCGGGCCUUGUACACACCGCCCGUCA